UAAAUUCAAGGAUCUCUACCGGU
rnacentral:piRNA from 1 species